AACGAACGCUGGCGGCAGGCCUAACACAUGCAAGUCGAGCGGACCCUUCGGGGUUAGCGGCGGACGGGUGAGUAACGCGUGGGAAUAUGCCCUUCUCUACGGAAUAGUCCUGGGAAACUGGGGGUAAUACCGUAUACGCCCUUUGGGGGAAAGAUUUAUCGGGGAAGGAUUAGCCCGCGUUGGAUUAGGUAGUUGGUGGGGUAAUGGCCUACCAAGCCGACGAUCCAUAGCUGGUUUGAGAGGAUGAUCAGCCACACUGGGACUGAGACACGGCCCAGACUCCUACGGGAGGCAGCAGUGGGGAAUCUUAGACAAGGGGGGCAACCCUGAUCGAGCCAUGCCGCGUGAGUGAUGAAGGCCUUAGGGUUGUAAAGCUCUUUCAGCUGGGAAGAUAAUGACGGUACCAGCAGAAGAAGCCCCGGCUAACUCCGUG
rnacentral:rRNA from 1 species